AAGGUACUCCUUCCGUCCGAAAAAACUUGUCUCAAGUUUGCCUCUCAAAUGAUGUAUCUAGCACUAACUUGAUGCUAGAUACAUCCAUUUGAGGGACAAGCUUUUUUGUACGGAGGGAGUAGUAG
rfam:Triticum aestivum genome assembly, contig: Triticum_aestivum_CS42_TGACv1_scaffold_221720_3B